UACCAAAUGGACUUGGUGACGAGCUACCCGCAGUUACUGUUGAUCACACUUCUAAUCAACUUCAAAAUCCAAAUGCAACUGCAGCAACAGGUUUACUCAUUUAAUUUUAUUUAAACAAUUGAUUAUGUUUACUUGUUCUAUGUACAGAAAUUCUUGUUAUUAUAUGAUUAUUGUUUUACUUUUAUUUUGAAAUAGGUUCCAAUAUAAUUAAAAGAAAAACUAGAGGACCAACACGAUGCUUGAAAAUCACACAAUUGGAGAAUGGACAAAAAUUGCCAGUAGAAUUUGAUGAAGAUGAUCAAGCUAUUGGUGAUAAUGCUACUGCAUUUGUUUGGUUUUUAGGACAAAUUAUUAGAAGUGUGUCGUGUUAUCCAUUGCAAGUGAAACAAUGGAAUAAGAUUACCGAUGAUAAGCUCGACCUUAUGUGGUCUACCAUAUUAGUACGAAAAUUUAUAUUAAAUUACAUCCAUUAUAAAAUGAUUAUAAUUUUUUUAGUUCUAUUAAGUAUCAUAAUAUUUAUUUCUUACUUCUUUGCUAAAAGGAAAGUUCACUUUUGAGUAUUCUGAUGCAAGAAAGGGAGCAAUUUUCGGUCAUAUGAAUGCAUUAUAUAGGAAUUAUAGGCAUAAGUUGAAGAAGAAGUACUUUGAUUCAAAGGCAACUUAUUCACUUCGUCUCCGAAACAAGCCUAAGGAUAUGGAUGUAAAAGAUUGGAAGUAUUUGGUUAAUCUUUGGACAGAAAAUGCAUUUCAGAGAGAAGCAACAAAAAUAAGACAAAUAGAUGCAAGCGUUUUAUGCCGCCAUACACGGGGACAAAAAGCUUUGCUUGGCUGAGAGAUCAUAUGAAGAACAAAAAAAAUGGAAAAACACUUUCUCGCUUAGAGCUUUU